rnacentral:lncRNA from 1 species
UAAAACUCUAGAAAGACACUUAAAUAAUAUCCCUAGACCUAGACCUAGCUAAAACAAAUAUACCUACAACCUAGAAGAACUCUCAAAAAAAAAAAUCAGCCGCAGUAGCCUAACUGCUUCCUUCUCCGCUCACCUGCCGGAACGUUCUUUUUCGGUGAGAGCAAGGCUCACCACAGCCACCGCCCACUUCCCAUUUUCCCAUUCUCAGAUUCUCAAAUCUAACAGCUCUUUCAUGUUAUUCAUGUGAAGACUAAUGGAAGUCUCAAGUAUUUUCAAAAUCAGUAUGCAUUAAUUCAUUCCUUGUCUUGGAAACUAAAUUCGAUUACGUACGUUAUACCCCUUGAUUUCUGCUACCUCUCUUUCUCAUCAUAAUACAAAUUGUCAAACCAAAGCCAAGCUGUAAGGAAUACACUGGACUUUGAUUUUGAUGAUGAUAAUGAAGAUGAGGACCAUACGUUGGCAAAGUCUGUCUGAUUUACUCUGAAUCAGGAAUUUUAAAAAGCACAAAUGUCGAGGGUUGGUCUGCUUUGUCAGAUAUUUGGAGGUUUUUGGUUUAUCUGAGGUCGAGUUUGGGUGUCGAGUAUUCCGGUGUCGAUUUGAGGUUUCGUUUUGAAAUUUCGGUAUUUCAGUCCGAGGAUUGUUGCCUUGUUUAGCCCUAUUGAUUUGUAAUUUUCAGCUUUGUUCAUCAAUAAAAGGUCCAUUUCUCAAUUUUCAUUCUCAUUUCAUUUUAUUACAAUAGCUUGGUGCGUGUGUUGGUUGAUUUGUGAUUCUCUGUUAUUUGAGUAGCAUGUCUUAGUUUUCAUUUAAAUUGUUUUAAUUAAUUUUUAUUUCGAUUGUGAUGUGUACAGUCUUAGUUAUUGAAUAAAUAUUUUUAAUUGGGUAGAUGAAAAAUAAGAGUUGUUUCUUUCUUGGCAAGGAAUAAGAAUGGACCAUAAGGUGAGUCUUGACCCAUAAGGAAUCUGAGCCAAGUAAUAUAUCAUGUUAGCUAGACUAUUUGCUCAACAAUAAUACCUUGUCCAUAAAUUUGGCAUCACAAAAAUCUUAAAGAUUAGGAAAAUAACUCAAAUGCGCUAGUUGCUUUAGGCGCGAUUAAUAAAAUUAUUGUGAUCACGGGUACGGUUCCCGUGGCGUGAUCAUGAUACGUAAAUUCCAAUUCGGGUGUGCAUUUCAUGUGACCCGACCACAGCUUCGAAUAAUAAUAAUAAAAUAAAUAUGUCGCAAAUCGCGGGUGCAUUUCAUGUAGCGUGGUUUGCAAUAUGUUCCAAAACGGCAAGUGUACGACAAUCGUAACUUGUUCAAGAAAUAAAUCCAUAAAUCCUAAAAGCAGUCUAAAUAAUUAAAAGCGGUUAUAAAGUUAAACAUGUACAAAAGGUUUAAAAUAUGUAAUUAAUCAUACAAUUAGGCCAAUAAUAAUAGUUGAGCGACCGUGCUAAAAUCACGAAACUCGGGAAUGCCUAAUAUCUUCUCCUGGGUUAACAGAAUUCCUUACCCGGAUUUCUGUGUUUUGCGGACCAUAAAUAAGAGUCAAACUUCCUCGUGACGACUCUGAUAAAUAAAUAAAUAAUCCUAUUUCUAUUAAUGUCGCUUAAAUUGGAAAAACUCUCUUAUAUCCCUUUCGGGAUAGAAAAAGGAGGUGCCACAAUAGUCACUUAUGCCUAGGUGUCAACCUAAGCUUAAGAGGGAAUUGAUGAUUAUCAAAACAAGACUUAUACUAGUCUUGUUACAAUUCCAUAUGAAAAAAAUGAGAACCAAAGAAACGUUAUGCAUUCCAAAAAGUAAUUUCGUUCAAAUAAUUUCAUGGUUUGAUGUCUAAGAGCUUCAAAGAAUCAGAAGCAAUUUCAUUCCAAUAUUUCAGGAAUCAGAAGCAAUUUCGUUCAUGAAUUUCUAUGAAGCAGGGGCAAAUUUCGUUCAAGAAAUUCAAAAAAGCAUAAGCUUAAUUCGAUUUUUUUGAGUUCUAAGUUCAAUCAACGAAAGUUUUCCAAUGGAACAUUAUACGGAGUUUUCCCUACUCCGGGUACGUUAAGGCCAUCCCUUCUUUCUUUUAGCAUGGCCCAAAUUAUAUAGAAGAAAUGAGCAAACACACAGUUUCUAUAAAUUACUCUAUUUCAUAAAAAUACUAGGGGUAUCUAUAUUCUUGAUUCCUCAUGAGAAUUAUAAUUAUCUUCUGUUCAUGGGUCUCAGAAUAAUACGCAGUUGAAAAAGUUUAUCCAGAAGGAAUAUUGAGAUUAUUACAUAUUGUUCAUGCAUUUCACCCAUUUAUACACGUGGAUUGACCCAUGACCAUAUGGCGUUAUAUACGCGUAUAUAUGUAAAUAUAUGUAUAUGGGGUAUGGGAAAAGGUUACAGCGUUAUAUACGCACCACCACCUAAUCAGUUGGUAUAUGAUGAUGAUGUUGCCCACAGUGGCCGAGAUGAUAUGAUGGGAUGCCCUCAGUGGAAUGAUGAUGUUAUGUACACCUAUACCCAUGCAUGACACGACAUUUAUAUACACGUGCAUAACACUAUAAAUGUUUCAGAAUUUACAAAGUUAUUUACAUUUACAGAUGGAUUUCUUUAUUCUAUGUUUCAUCUAUGCCUUUUACGUACAGAUUUUCAUGCCUUACAUACUCAGUACAUUUUUUCGUACUGACGCCCUAUUUUACGGGGCCUGCAUUUCAUGCUCGCAGGUGCAAGUAGGUAAGCUGACGGUCCCCCUUUUUAGGAUCCCUGAUCACCGAGAGUUGGCGUGCUCCACUUGGUCCGGAGCUGCUUUUGAUUUUGGUACGAUAUGUUUAUAUAUAUAUGUAUAUGGGUAUGACAUGGCUCAGUCCCGUCUUUGUACAGUUAUAUUUCCAUUAGAGGUAUGUAGACAAUAUGUCUAGUUGGAUAGUUUGUGGCCUUGUCGGCUUACAAUUUUGAGAUGUAUAGUUGUCUAUAGUAGCCUUGUCGGCUCGCCCUUCGUAUGUUGCACGUAUAUGUUUGUAUGUAUUUUUGGGCAGAUUUCCUUCAUGUACAUUAUUCUCGUAAUUUAACAGAUGUUAUUCAGGU